AGUGAACGCUGGCGGUAGGCCUAACACAUGCAAGUCGAACGGCAGCACAGUAAGAGCUUGCUCUUACGGGUGGCGAGUGGCGGACGGGUGAGGAAUACAUCGGAAUCUACUUUUUCGUGGGGGAUAACGUAGGGAAACUUACGCUAAUACCGCAUACGACCUACGGGUGAAAGCAGGGGAUCUUCUGACCUUGCGCGAUUGAAUGAGCCGAUGUCGGAUUAGCUAGUUGGCGGGGUAAGGGCCCACCAAGGCGACGAUCCGUAGCUGGUCUGAGAGGAUGAUCAGCCACACUGGAACUGAGACACGGUCCAGACUCCUACGGGAGGCAGCAGUGGGGAAUAUUGGACAAUGGGCGCAAGCCUGAUCCAGCCAUACCGCGUGGGUGAAGAAGGCCUUCGGGUUGUAAAGCCCUUUUGUUGGGAAAGAAAAGCAGCAGGUUAAUACCCCGCUGUUCUGACGGUACCCAAAGAAUAAGCACCGGCUAACUUCGUG
rnacentral:rRNA from 1 species